ACAAUCUUGGCCUUUAACCAAAUGAGCUAACUACCCAGGUUAGUCCAGUACUCUAGAAAAUGUUUUACACAAAUCUGCUUUAGGAAUUACCUGCUUAUCCUCACUGAUAAUGCCUUAGCAGUAAAGAUUAUUUCAAAGUACAUUCUUUCAUGUUUUCUUCUGGCUUUCAGUCCUACCUAAGUAUUAAGGAAAGUACAUUGUAAAUAUGGUAGUUGUUUACAAAGGAUAUGUACUGCUCUUGCAAGGAAAUAAUGUCCAAACAAAGCUUCACUUAUUUUUUUUAAUAGAAGCAUAUUUCACUGUUUAUGGCGCUUAUGUAAUACAUUUUUAUCUUUUUAAAUGACUUGUCCAUGUAAAAGUCAGGGUUCCUUUAUAUUUGUGAGCCUCCUUGUCACCUUUCUAUGGUUUUCAGAUCUGCAGGAUAGUCAAGGAUGGUUAAGUAAAAACACAAAAUCCAUUUUCCUCUUGUUAAAAUGUUCCAUUUUAGGGGUGUUUGUUUUCUAUAGCUCAAAAACAGCUGCAGCACAUUCUGAACACAGUGAUGGACAGCAGGCACCUCCCUAACCUCCCCAAAUGUAUCACUCAUCUCUGAAGUAUUGAAGUUAGAGGUAACUCAAGCAGGAUACUGGUUAUGAAUGUAGAUGUUGAAGCUAUUCAAAAACACUGGAAGUCAGUCUUUCCAUUUCUAGCCUUCAGUAGAAUGCACUUUUUUGACGUGCAUGUGGACUAUUUCAAGAAGUACUCGUAGACAUUGGGUCAUCUAGAAUGGAUACAAGGAUUUUUAGUGGGAGUUGCUUUUUUAUUUUCGUGUCCACAGUUAUUCUAUAUUACUAGUUGCAGCUGUUAAAGAUAAGGUUGUUGGUGUAGGUGUCAGGUGUGCAAUGAAGAACAGGAAUCUUGGUUUCCUCACCAGUGUCCAAACACCUAUUCUUGAGGGAACAUUUUCUUGCAAAAGACUUUACAUUUUGUUUUGUAUCUUCGCACUUUUUCUUUAUUACAGAAAGGUUCUGUGUUUUGAGACCUACUUUGAACUUCAUGCGGUAAUGUGGGGGGGAUUGCAUUGUUCAAAGCAUAGGGGAAAGUACUAAAGCCUGAUUUUCCUUGAAUUUUUGAAAAUUUUUUAAUCCACUUACUAGUGUAAAGGUUUGCAGUGUUUUGUUUUAUUCCACACAGCUUACAGUGUUGAGAUUUAUUAGUGCUGAAAAACAAAAUUUAACAAGUUAAAAAUGGCAGGCUGUUUGUAGUAACCCUGCAGAAAAAGAGAGCUGUGGUGGGAAUUUGGAACAUUUACUCUAAAAAGAACAUGUUAGUUGCACUGCCAUGUCCUCCAUGUUAAUGGAGGCGGCUUUGGUGGGGAGAGGAAGGAGGCUCACAUGGUAGUGUUGGAACAGAUAAUUGACAGCUUGAUAACAAAAACAGUAGUGCCAGGAGAUGCUCAGUCUUUAGGGCACAACUGUUAUGACUCCAUCCAAGCUAGGAAACUGGUUUGCUCUGUUACCUUAUGCAAUAUUUUGCUUUGUAUUUGUUUUGUUUUUUUUUUUUCCUCCUGGGAAAACUUUGUUUCUGUGCCAAGUAUUCUCUGCUUUUGUCAAUGUCUUAUAGUUAUGAAGGGUUAGCAUUUAGCACACUUUGUAUUUAACCACCUGCUUCUAUGACUGAGUCUCCAAAUAACCAUGUGAUAAAGAGGUCUAUGUUACAAAAUGACUGUUAAAGGCCAUUUCUGACAGUUUGCUUGAAUACAGUGGCACCUUGUGGUUGACUUUUUUUUUUUUUUUGGAUGGAGGAUAAUUCUUGUGUGAAAGGAAAUAAUUUGUAAUCUGCCUUAGCUGAUUUGUUUAGUGUUUUUUCUUACUGGCUUCCAUAUCACACGUCUUAACCAAAAAUAUGCAGUACCUGGAAGCCAUGCUCGCAGGGCACUUAGAUUCUUGGCUAAUCUUCUAAGACUGUUCUGAUUUUCACUCUCUUGAAGUAUUCUUUCUGUACCUGUAUAAUGAGGUAGAGAAGGCACAUGUGAAGGUGUUUCUUUUUCCCCUUUAGUACAGUUCAGUAUGUUUAAUGCUCAGUAACAGUGUUGUAAUUGAGUUAACUAGUAAAUGGUUCUUCUAAAAAUUAUUUUUAAGUGUAUGUUGAUGUAUCAUGCUUUACUUGGGAAGUUAAAGUGCAAGGUCUGAGGAAAGUAUUUCUAAGUCCCAGUUUAACAAAAACUUUUGUGAGCUCAAUCAAUAUCCACCCUUCAAUUUUUUAGCAUUCUGAAUUACCUUUCUGGAGGUAAUUCAGCUGGCCUGGCACUCUGGACCAGGCUGGCUUCAGUCUUGUGGCAGUCCUUGUGCCUCUGCCUCUUGAAUGUUAGGAAUGCAGGUACUUAGCACUCAAUUCUUUUACCUUCACUGGAACAUUUCUAAAAUACUAUUCAACACUCCAGGAACUGAGUGGCCUCCUGUUAGUCACCAUAGUUUGCAUUUAAAAGCCUACAGCUUAGAAUAGAACUACCAGGGAUUUUUUUUUCUAAAGUAUCAGGUUUAUGAUUUUUUUUUUCAUGUCCAUGUAGAUGCCUGGAUUCAAAUCUUAAAAAAGUUACCGACUACUCAAAAUUACAGUGAGAUACAUGGGACUUAUUGUUUUGGGUAUUUUGAGAGGGUCUUGUUUUGUAACCCAGGCUGGCCUGGAAUUAGUGAUCCUCCUGAUUGCUGGGAUUAUAGGUAUGUAUUACCCCAGCCCAGCAAGGAUUUGUUUACUGAAGUCCCACAGCUGCUUUAUAGUCAUUUGGGGAGAGCAGCUAGAGAUGCGCAGUGAAAGUGAACCCUGUCAUACCACUGUGCCUUGCUUGUUUCAAGGUUUUUCUGAGUUCUCAUUCUGAAGAUUGUUUUCCAGUUGCAAGUUAGAGUCAAGCCAGCUGCCCAGCCUUAACUCUGUUCAGUGCCCUGUUACUAACAUUUUUAACAGAUUGGUUUCUACGUGUUUAAACUGUCCAGCGUUGGAUUUUACCUCUUGCUAGUUCCAUUUGUCCCUGGUGCUGCUUUUAAAGGUAUAGGGCCCUGUGAAGUGUCCAGUGGAGUAGGUACGCAGUUGGCCUGGUAAUGGAAAAGCUGCUUUGGAAUAGAUGUUUACUUGGGUUCCUGUGCAGAACUGGGCAGCAAUCCUGGAAAGCUCUGUAAAGCCUGUAAGAAAGGAUUUGAAGAGCCCUUAAGUCUUUGAACAUGAAGCACAUGUGUGCAUGCUGUCAAAAGACUGGAGUGAUUGUCAUACCAGGGCUUCCUGACCUCCACGAGACACUUUCAAAAGGCAACAGAGGAGCACCAAGGGAAGUGAAUUUGCUUGGCUUGCUUUGUCUGCUUUCUUAUUUUCUUACCAUUUAAACCUGAACGAAACACCCUUCUCCGGUAUCUGAUCCAGCAAACUUGGUUGGGAAGCCCUGUGUUGAAUUUUGAGAAUGUACCCAACUUUUUGUACAGUGCUUUACACCUGCUAAAAUUUAACUUGUUUAAUGCAGAAAGACCUUGAAUGGUCAGUCAUUAAAUCUGGUUUGAUUAUUAAUAGCUAUCUUUUAGGAAGAAGCUUUUUCCCUAUGUACGAUGUCAUACUGCAGACUUAAAAUAUAGACUAUCAAUAAAAUGCAUGAAGUAA